rnacentral:lncRNA from 1 species
AGUAGAAAUCAGAUCAUAAGAAUCUUCACAAUGAAGAGGCUGAUUAAUUAAUAAGCUCAUUUCCUAAUACCUCCCCAAAGGCUGCCCUUUUUGAAUUUGUUUUUUUAAAGAGGAGAGAUUUAUCAUUAACCAAAAUGCCAGGCUUACUAUACCUUCCAGGUAUCAAUGGUCUUUCUGCAAAGAGCCUGCCCUCCUCCCCUGCUGGGGAGUGCUAAAGCAAACACACCCUCCCAGGAUGUGGGGGAGACAUCAGAUAUAUUACUAGAAUGUCACAGAUCAGCCCAUCUUGUGUCUCCCUGGGUCCUGUUUCAACGGUCUUUUGUCCUUCAAUGAAGGGCAUCCCAUGUGCAAGUCAAGCAUAGAGAAAAAUAUGUUGGACUUAGCUCAGAUUUCACCUCCAACACUUAUUGGUAGUAUUACUUCAGGUAAGUCAUUUUACAUAGCUCUACUUCAGUUUCUUCAUCUAUAAAAUGAGUGAGUAUAAGAAUACUCAUCGUCCUCACCCCACAAAGCAUCGUUAAGAGAAAAUAUGGGAUAUGAAUAUCAAGUGAGUAUAGGAAAAGCAUUUUACAAAAUUUUAAAUGCCAAAUUAUAUCAAUUCUCACUAUUAUGGUAUUGUUAUGGUCCCUUUCCCUUUG